rnacentral:rRNA from 1 species
AACGAACGCUGGCGGCAUGCCUAACACAUGCAAGUCGAACGAGACCUUCGGGUCUAGUUGCGCACGGGUGCGUAACGCGUGGGAACCUGCCCUUAGGUUCGGAAUAACUCCCCGAAAGGGGUGCUAAUACCGGCUAAUGUCUUCGGACCAAAGAUUUAUCGCCUUUGGAUGGGCCCGCGUUGGAUUAGCUAGUUGGUAGGGUAAAAGCCUACCAAGGCUACGAUCCAUAGCUGGUCUGAGAGGAUGAUCAGCCACACUGGGACUGAGACACGGCCCAGACUCGUACGGGAGGCAGCAGUGGGGAAUAUUGGACAAUGGGCGAAAGCCUGAUCCAGCAAUGCCGCGUGAGUGAUGAAGGCCUUAGGGUUGUAAAGCUCGUUUACCCGGGAGGAUAAUGACAGUACCGGGAGAAUAAGCUCCGGCUAACUCCGUG